rnacentral:rRNA from 1 species
ACAUGUAGGUAUCUGCCCUUUGGCCUGGAAUAACAUGAGGAAACUUAUGCUAAUACCGGAUAAGUCUUUACGGAGAAAGCUUUAUGCACCAUUGGAUGAGCCUGCACUUGAUUAGUUUGUUGGUGGGGUAAUGGCCUACCAAGACUGUGAUCAAUAGCUGAUUUGAGAGGAUGAUCAGCCACAUUGGGACUGAGACACGGCCCAAACUCCUACGGGAGGCAGCAGUGGGGAAUCUUGCACAAUGGAGGAAACUCUGAUGCAGCGAUGCCGCGUGAGUGAAGAAGGCCUUUGGGUUGUAAAGCUCUUUCGUCGGGGAAGAAAAUGACUGUACCCGAAUAAGAAGGUCC